AUGGCGAAGAUUUCUAGUAGCACCGUCGUUCUCCUGGUGUUUCUCGUCUCGUCGUGGGGGGCAUUGCCGGUGUUGUCCCGUGGAGGGAUGGAGGAUGGAGGAGGCGGUAUCGGUGCUAAUAUUGGGCUUCAAAAGUCUAUCGGUGCUAAUGUUGGUGUUGGUGCGAAUGGAGGCGCCGGUGCUGGUGCUGGUGCUGGCAUUGGAGCAAAUGUAGGUGUUGGAGCAAAUAUAGGUGCCAAUGCUGGUCUUGGUGCCGGUGCAAAUGGAAACGGUGGUGCUGGUCUUGGUGUCGGUGCACAUAAAUCUAUUGGUGCUAAUGUUGGUGUUGGUGCGAAUGGAGGCGCUGGUGCUGGUGCCGGUGCUGGUGUUGGUGCUGGCCUUGGAGCAAAUGUAGGUAUUGGAGCAAAUGUAGNNNNNNNNNNNNNNNNNNNNNCUGGUGCUGGUGGUGGUGCUGGUGCUGGUGCGAAUGGAGGCGCUAACAUUGGAGCUGGCAUUGGAGCAAAUGUAGGUGCCAAUGCCGGUCUUGGUGCCGGUGCCGGUGCACAUAAAGGUAUUGGUGCUGGUGUUGGUGCUGGCCUUGGAGCAAAUGUAGGUAUUGGAGCAAACGUAGGUGCCAAUGCUGGUCUUGGUGGCGGUGCCGGUGCAAACGGUGGUGCUAGUGCUGGUGUUGGCCUUGGAGCAAAUGUAGGCAUUGGAGCAAAUGUAGGUGCCAAUGCCGGUCUUGGUGUCGGUGCACAUAAAGGUAUUGGUGCUGGUGUUGGCAAAUGA
rnacentral:rRNA from 1 species